AUUGAACGCUGGCGGCAGGCCUAACACAUGCAAGUCGAACGAGUGGCGGACGGGUGAGGAAUGUCUGGGAAACUGCCUGAUGGAGGGGGAUAACUACUGGAAACGGUAGCUAAUACCGCAUAACAUCAGAUGUGCCCAGAUGGGAUUCGCUUGUUGGUGGGGUAACGGCUCACCAAGGCGACGAUCCCUAGCUGGUCGUAGAGGUUGACCAGCAACCCUGGAACUGAGACACGGUCAAGCCUCCUACGGGAGGCACCAGUGGGGAAUAUUGCACAAUGGGCGAAAGCCGGAUGCAGCCAUGCCGCGUGUAUGAAGAAGGCCUUCGGGUUGUAAAGUCCUUUCAGCGGGGAGGCGUUACCCGCAGAAGAAGCACCGGCUAACUCCGUGCCAGCAGCCGCGGUAAUUC
rnacentral:rRNA from 1 species